CUAUAAUGAAUAUAUUUUAGGUUUGCAAGAAGGUGAUGUGUAGGGAGACCCCCUGAAACUAUUGCUACGGAAUAAAAGAUAAAAUGCUCCUGAUUAUAGUAAAUACAAAAUUGCAUGCAGGAUUGUGUAAAGACAAUGCCAGGUUGGGCUCCCAGAAUGAGCCAACAGCAUGUGAUGUGCUUCCCCCUGCAGAGAGCCUAUGAAUGGACGUGCAGUCAGGGAGGUUUCACAUCACCAAGAUUCCUAUCCCAAAAAAGCAGAUGUUCAUAGCUCUGGGAAUGGAAUGCGACCUUUGUGCAGGGUCUAUAAAUGGACGCAUGGGGGCGCCUGUCCAUAUGGAUAAGGUAGGGCUAUAACUGCCCUCAUCUUGCCACCGCUCUUCUAGGCCUCUUUACUCCCUUCUGAGAAUUUCUGGUCUAAUCCAUUGUUUUGCUUCACGUCCUGUUUCUAUGGAUUGUUUGUAACCAGCUUUUGCUGCAACUGUUACUGCUGAUUAAUAUCUGGAUAAUCAUAGGUUAUGGAAAGACUGUUUCUGUUUUGAGGCUCUGUUAGAAAUUACUGAUGCACAUAAUAUUUUAUAAAUUCUUAUCUCUGUAUAUUGUACUUUUGCAUACAGAUGUUAUGUUAAAGAAUUACUUCAUCCCCAUGUGACCAUCUCACCUCAUAAUCAAAUGGCCCUAAAUCCCUCACUAACCUACCCCCGCCCUCACUAAACUUAAUAAUAAAUGCUGAUAUAUCCAGUGCAUUGGCGGCACCACGGGACCAGAAGGCGGUGACGCCCCCUGGACCCAGCUUUCACUGUCUUGUGUGUGUCUAUUAUUUCUCGACCUGCCGAUCUGCCUGGGAACAAAGAGAGAGCCCCGUUGCACUGUGGGCUGCUGGCCAGAUCCCACAAUAGUGAUGAUGAACCAUUAUGCAACAGCAUGGUCAACAAUAACAAAACACAAUCGGAUUUUUAAAACUGAGCAAAAGGACUUAAAUAGACAUUUAUCCAAAGAAGAUACACAAAUGACCAACAGACACAUGAAAAGAUGUUCAAUGUCACUACUUAUUAAGGUAAAGCAAAUCAAAAUCACAGUGAAAGCAAUUUGGUGAUUCCUCAAAAUAUUCAUAUGAUUCAGCAAUU
rnacentral:lncRNA from 1 species